GACGAACGCUGGCGGCGUGCCUAAUACAUGCAAGUCGAACGAGAGCGCCCGGUGCUUGCACUGGUCAAUCUAGUGGCGAACGGGUGAAUAACACGUGGGUAACCUGCCCAUCAGAGGGGGAUAACAUUCGGAAACGGAUGCUAAAACCGCAUAGGUCUUCGAACCGCAUGGUUUGAAGAGGAAAAGAGGCGCAAGCUUCUGCUGAUGGAUGGACCCGCGGUGCAUUAGCUAGUUGGUGAGGUAACGGCUCACCAAGGCCGUGAUGCAUAGCCGACCUGAGAGGGUGAUCGGCCACAUUGGGACUGAGACACGGCCCAAACUCCUACGGGAGGCAGCAGUAGGGAAUCUUCCGCAAUGGACGCAAGUCUGACGGAGCAACGCCGCGUGAGUGAAGAAGGUUUUCGGAUCGUAAAACUCUGUUGUUAGAGAAGAACAAGUGCUAGAGUAACUGUUAGCGCCUUGACGGUAGCUAACCAGAAAGCCACGGCUAACUACGUG
rnacentral:rRNA from 1 species